rnacentral:tRNA from 1 species
AGCAGGAUAGAGCAGUUGGAAGCUCGCCAGUCUCCUUAGCUGGAAGUCGGAGGUUCGAGUCCUUCUCCUGCAAC